rnacentral:rRNA from 1 species
UACGUAGGGUGCGAGCGUUAAUCGGAAUUACUGGGCGUAAAGCGUGCGCAGGCGGCUUUGCAAGACAGGUGUGAAAUCCCCGGGCUCAACCUGGGAACUGCAUUUGUGACUGCAUGGCUGGAGUGCGGCAGAGGGGGAUGGAAUUCCGCGUGUAGCAGUGAAAUGCGUAGAUAUGCGGAGGAACACCGAUGGCGAAGGCAAUCCCCUGGGCCUGCACUGACGCUCAUGCACGAAAGCGUGGGGAGCAAACAGG